UACAGAGGGUGCGAGCGUUGUUCGGAAUUAUUGGGCGUAAAGGGCGCGUAGGCGGCGCGGUAUGUCACCUGUGAAAUCUCCUGGCUCAACUGGGAGCUUGCAGGCGAAACUGCCGUGCUGGAGUGUGGGAGAGGUGCGUGGAAUUCCUGGUGUAGCGGUGAAAUACGUAGAUAUCAGGAGGAACACCUGUGGCGAAAGCGGCGCACUGGACCACAACUGACGCUGAGGCGCGAAAGCUAGGGGAGCAAACAGG
rnacentral:rRNA from 1 species